AGAAAAUCAGCCACCAAUGGUACUUCCUCCACCCUGCCGUUGUCUCCUCCCCUUCGGUAUUUGCGGUUCAUAAAAUAUGGAGAAAUGGAAGCUUCGAAUCGUCAUCUAUAUUAUCUCGAGAUCUUGAUACUAACAAGGUGUGUAAUGGAUGGUAGAUUAAUUAGUUGGAAGACAGGAAAGCAUAUGUCGUCAAUUUGUUUAGUUUAGAUUUGCUUACAUUACUUUGAUUUAUUUCACUUUGUAAGAUAGUAUUUUGUAUAAUGUAAUAGUAUACAAACUCAUAUCUCUUGUACUCCUUAUUUGAAUAAUAAUAACGAGACGUGUUUAGUAUUUCUA